rnacentral:rRNA from 1 species
GACGAACGCUGGCGGCGUGCUUAACACAUGCAAGUCGAACGGAAAGGCCCUGCUUUUGUGGGGUGCUCGAGUGGCGAACGGGGGAGUAACACGCGAGUAACCUGCCCCUGACUUUGGGAUAACAUCAGGAAACUGGGGCUAAUACCGGAUAGGAGCUCCUGCUGCACGGGGGGGGUUGGAGAGAUUCGGCGGUUGGGGAUGGACUCGAUGCUUAUCAGCUUGUUUGUCGGGUAGUGGCGUACCAAGGCUAUGACGGGUAGGCGGCCUGAGAGGGUGAACGGCGACAUUGGGACUGCGAUACGGCGCAGACGGCAACGGGCGGCAGCAGUGGGGAAUAUUGCGCAGUGGGCGGGAGCGUGAUGCGGAGGCGCCGGGUGCGGGAUGACGGCCUUCGAGUUAUAAACCGCUGUCGACUGUGACGAAGCGUGAGUGACGGUAAUGAGUAAGGAAGCACCGGCUAACUACGUG